rnacentral:ncRNA from 1 species
AAAAAGUUUUAUUUUGGCUUUUGGUUUAAUUUAUUUAUUUAUUUAUAUGUUAAUUUUAGUGGGUUUUUUCUUUAGAAAGGAAUUAGUUAAGCAGUAUAUAGUUUUAAUUAUUAAGUUAUUUUAGAAUUAGAAAUUUGAUUUAGUAUGAACAUAGUUUGUGCCAGCAGUAGCGGUUAUACAAACCAUGCAAAUUAAUUUUUUUUAGUACAAUUUAGUGUUAAUUUUAAAUUUUAGUUUUAAAUUUUUUAGGUGGAAUUUUAAAUUUAAUUAAAAUUUUGUUUUUAUUCUGAGGUUGAUAAAUCUUAAUGUUAAACUAGGAUUAGAUACCCUAUUAUUUUAGAUGUAAUUAUCUUUCUAUAAUUAUUAUUAGUUAAGUUCUUUAAAAUUAAACAAUUUGGCGGUAUUUUAGUCUAUUCAGAGGAACCUGUUUUUUAAUCGAUGGUCCACGAUAAUUUUUACUUUAACUUUAAAUUUAUAUAUCGUCGUUGUUAAGAAUUUUAUGAGGAUUUUAAUUUUUAGGAUUUUUUAUUAAGGAUAAAUUCAGAUCAAGGUGUAGUUUAUGUUAAAGUUAAAAUGGGUUACAUUUCAUUUAUGAGUGGUUCUUUAUUUUAGAAUUUUGGAUAAAUUGGAUUUGAUAGUAAAUUCUUUAUUUAGCGGAGUUGAUUUAGCUCUAAAAUAUGCACAUAUCGCCCGUCGCUUUCGCUUUAAAGUGGAAUAAGUCGUAACAAAGUAGGCUUAUUGGAAAAUGAGCCUGGAAUGAU